UACGUAGGGUGCAAGCAUUAAUCGGAUUUAUUGGGCGUAAAGGGCGCGUAGGCGGGAAUGUAAGUCAGACGUGAAAUCCCGGGGCUCAACCCCGGAACAGCAUUUGAAACUGCAUUUCUAGAGGAUAGGCGGAGAAAACGGAAUUCCACAAGUAGCGGUGAAAUGCGUAGAUAUGUGGAAGAACACCUGUGGCGAAAGCGGUUUUCUAGCUUAGACCUGACGCUGAGGCGCGAAAGCAAGGGGAUCAAACAGG
rnacentral:rRNA from 1 species